rnacentral:rRNA from 1 species
UAAUACAUGCAAGUCGAACGCGUCUCCGUUAAUGAUUUUAGGUGCUUGCACUUGAAAGAUUUAACAUUGAGACGAGUGGCGAACUGGUGAGUAACACGUGGGUAACCUGCCCUUGAAGUAGGGGAUAACACUUGGAAACAGGUGCUAAUACCGUAUAACAACCAAAACCACCUGGUUUUGGUUUAAAAGACGGCUUCGGCUGUCACUUUAGGAUGGACCCGCGGCGUAUUAGCUUGUUGGUAAGGUAACGGCCUACCAAGGCGAUGAUACGUAGCCGACCUGAGAGGGUAAUCGGCCACAUUGGGACUGAGACACGGCCCAAACUCCUACGGGAGGCAGCAGUAGGGAAUCUUCCACAAUGGACGAAAGUCUGAUGGAGCAACGCCGCGUGAGUGAUGAAGGGUUUCGGCUCGUAAAACUCUGUUGUUGGAGAAGAACAGGUGUCAGAGUAACUGUUGACAUCUUGACGGUAUCCAACCAGAAAGCCACGGCUAACUACGUGCCAGCAGCCGCGGUAAUACGUAGGUGGCAAGCGUUGUCCGGAUUUAUUGGGCGUAAAGCGAGCGCAGGCGGUUUUUUAGGUCUGAUGUGAAAGCCUUCGGCUUAACCGGAGAAGUGCAUCGGAAACCGGGAGACUUGAGUGCAGAAGAGGACAGUGGAACUCCAUGUGUAGCGGUGAAAUGCGUAGAUAUAUGGAAGAACACCAGUGGCGAAGGCGGCUGUCUGGUCUGUAACUGACGC